AGGGCAUCAAUGCAAGUCAUACCUAAGGCUAAGAUCAAGUGUAGUAUUUAUUUUUAUCAGUUUGAUAUCUGAUAUGUGAGCUAUGUGCCCAUAAUGAUAUUAAAUUUAUUUUUUGUGAAAGAGGGUCCAUUACAGUGGCUUGCCAUUGGAACCCUUGGGACCCUCAGGUGUCGCCUGGGCGUUGCACUACAGCCCAGGCAGGCGCACCCCAA
rfam:Triticum aestivum genome assembly, contig: Triticum_aestivum_CS42_TGACv1_scaffold_622129_7DS